rnacentral:rRNA from 1 species
GGGUUGUGAGGUUAAGCGACUAAGCGUACACGGUGGAUGCCCUGGCAGUCAGAGGCGAUGAAGGACGUGCUAAUCUGCGAUAAGCGUCGGUAAGGUGAUAUGAACCGUUAUAACCGGCGAUUUCCGAAUGGGGAAACCCAGUGUGAUUCGUCACACUAUCAUUAACUGAAUCCAUAGGUUAAUGAGGCGAACCGGGGGAACUGAAACAUCUAAGUACCCCGAGGAAAAGAAAUCAACCGAGAUUCCCCCAGUAGCGGCGAGCGAACGGGGAGGAGCCCAGAGCCUGAAUCAGUGUGUGUGUUAGUGGAAGCGUCUGGAAAGGCGCGCGAUACAGGGUGACAGCCCCGUACACAAAAAUGCACAUGCUGUGAGCUCGAUGAGUAGGGCGGGACACGUGGUAUCCUGUCUGAAUAUGGGGGGACCAUCCUCCAAGGCUAAAUACUCCUGACUGACCGAUAGUGAACCAGUACCGUGAGGGAAAGGCGAAAAGAACCCCGGCGAGGGGAGUGAAAAAGAACCUGAAACCGUGUACGUACAAGCAGUGGGAGCACGCUUAGGCGUGUGACUGCGUACCUUUUGUAUAAUGGGUCAGCGACUUAUAUUCUGUAGCAAGGUUAACCGAAUAGGGGAGCCGAAGGGAAACCGAGUCUUAACUGGGCGUUAAGUUGCAGGGUAUAGACCCGAAACCCGGUGAUCUAGCCAUGGGCAGGUUGAAGGUUGGGUAACACUAACUGGAGGACCGAACCGACUAAUGUUGAAAAAUUAGCGGAUGACUUGUGGCUGGGGGUGAAAGGCCAAUCAAACCGGGAGAUAGCUGGUUCUCCCCGAAAGCUAUUUAGGUAGCGCCUCGUGAAUUCAUCUCCGGGGGUAGAGCACUGUUUCGGCAAGGGGGUCAUCCCGACUUACCAACCCGAUGCAAACUGCGAAUACCGGAGAAUGUUAUCACGGGAGACACACGGCGGGUGCUAACGUCCGUCGUGAAGAGGGAAACAACCCAGACCGCCAGCUAAGGUCCCAAAGUCAUGGUUAAGUGGGAAACGAUGUGGGAAGGCCCAGACAGCCAGGAUGUUGGCUUAGAAGCAGCCAUCAUUUAAAGAAAGCGUAAUAGCUCACUGGUCGAGUCGGCCUGCGCGGAAGAUGUAACGGGGCUAAACCAUGCACCGAAGCUGCGGCAGCGACGCUUAUGCGUUGUUGGGUAGGGGAGCGUUCUGUAAGCCUGUGAAGGUGUGCUGUGAGGCAUGCUGGAGGUAUCAGAAGUGCGAAUGCUGACAUAAGUAACGAUAAAGCGGGUGAAAAGCCCGCUCGCCGGAAGACCAAGGGUUCCUGUCCAACGUUAAUCGGGGCAGGGUGAGUCGACCCCUAAGGCGAGGCCGAAAGGCGUAGUCGAUGGGAAACAGGUUAAUAUUCCUGUACUUGGUGUUACUGCGAAGGGGGGACGGAGAAGGCUAUGUUGGCCGGGCGACGGUUGUCCCGGUUUAAGCGUGUAGGCUGGUUUUCCAGGCAAAUCCGGAAAAUCAAGGCUGAGGCGUGAUGACGAGGCACUACGGUGCUGAAGCAACAAAUGCCCUGCUUCCAGGAAAAGCCUCUAAGCAUCAGGUAACAUCAAAUCGUACCCCAAACCGACACAGGUGGUCAGGUAGAGAAUACCAAGGCGCUUGAGAGAACUCGGGUGAAGGAACUAGGCAAAAUGGUGCCGUAACUUCGGGAGAAGGCACGCUGAUAUGUAGGUGAAGUCCCUCGCGGAUGGAGCUGAAAUCAGUCGAAGAUACCAGCUGGCUGCAACUGUUUAUUAAAAACACAGCACUGUGCAAACACGAAAGUGGACGUAUACGGUGUGACGCCUGCCCGGUGCCGGAAGGUUAAUUGAUGGGGUCAGCGCAAGCGAAGCUCUUGAUCGAAGCCCCGGUAAACGGCGGCCGUAACUAUAACGGUCCUAAGGUAGCGAAAUUCCUUGUCGGGUAAGUUCCGACCUGCACGAAUGGCGUAAUGAUGGCCAGGCUGUCUCCACCCGAGACUCAGUGAAAUUGAACUCGCUGUGAAGAUGCAGUGUACCCGCGGCAAGACGGAAAGACCCCGUGAACCUUUACUAUAGCUUGACACUGAACAUUGAGCCUUGAUGUGUAGGAUAGGUGGGAGGCUUUGAAGUGUGGACGCCAGUCUGCAUGGAGCCGACCUUGAAAUACCACCCUUUAAUGUUUGAUGUUCUAACGUUGACCCGUAAUCCGGGUUGCGGACAGUGUCUGGUGGGUAGUUUGACUGGGGCGGUCUCCUCCUAAAGAGUAACGGAGGAGCACGAAGGUUGGCUAAUCCUGGUCGGACAUCAGGAGGUUAGUGCAAUGGCAUAAGCCAGCUUGACUGCGAGCGUGACGGCGCGAGCAGGUGCGAAAGCAGGUCAUAGUGAUCCGGUGGUUCUGAAUGGAAGGGCCAUCGCUCAACGGAUAAAAGGUACUCCGGGGAUAACAGGCUGAUACCGCCCAAGAGUUCAUAUCGACGGCGGUGUUUGGCACCUCGAUGUCGGCUCAUCACAUCCUGGGGCUGAAGUAGGUCCCAAGGGUAUGGCUGUUCGCCAUUUAAAGUGGUACGCGAGCUGGGUUUAGAACGUCGUGAGACAGUUCGGUCCCUAUCUGCCGUGGGCGCUGGAGAACUGAGGGGGGCUGCUCCUAGUACGAGAGGACCGGAGUGGACGCAUCACUGGUGUUCGGGUUGUCAUGCCAAUGGCACUGCCCGGUAGCUAAAUGCGGAAGAGAUAAGUGCUGAAAGCAUCUAAGCACGAAACUUGCCCCGAGAUGAGUUCUCCCUGACCCUUUAAGGGUCCUGAAGGAACGUUGAAGACGACGACGUUGAUAGGCCGGGUGUGUAAGCGCAGCGAUGCGUUGAGCUAACCGGUACUAAUGAACCGUGAGGCUUAACCUUACAACGCCGAAGGUGUUU